UUGCAACCUCAAGUGCUAAGAAUAUAAUUCACAAGAAUCAGGGAGACCAUUGCAACCUUAAAUGCUAAGAAGACAACUCAGAAGAAGAGAAAGAGUGCAAUAAGACGAAAAAAGAAAGUGAAGGGAUAUGACCUAUCCCACCCAAAUGAGUUCUUGCCUGAGCUGAAAGAAGAAC